UACGGAGGAUGCGAGCGUUAUCCGGAUUUAUUGGGUUUAAAGGGUGCGCAGGCGGUCUGUUAAGUCAGCGGUCAAAGCCCGGGGCUCAACCCCGUCGAGCCGUUGAAACUGGCAGACUUGAGUUGGCGAGAAGUACGCGGAAUGCGCGGUGUAGCGGUGAAAUGCAUAGAUAUCGCGCAGAACUCCGAUUGCGAAGGCAGCAUACCGGCGCUCAACUGACGCUCAUGCACGAAAGCGUGGGUAUCGAACAGG
rnacentral:rRNA from 1 species